AGGCACCGUCUAAUCUCUCCUCACCCACGUGUCCCUGGAACUGUUGUGUCCCAGGAACUGUUGUGUCCCUGGAACUGUUGUGUCCCUGGAACUGUUGUGUCCCCGGAACUGUUGUGUCCCAGGAACUGUUGUGUCCCUGGAACUGUUGUGUCCCUGCAUGGGCGAAAUCCUGAAGAGACUGUUGAAGGGCCACAGCAGGAGCAGGAGCUGGAGCUGGUCCUCAGAGGUCAACACAACGUGGGCUGCACCCCAGACGGUCUACUUACCGCCCAUGAGGAAGAGGAGACCGGCCACGUACUGCAUCAGACCCCGAUCCCAGCAGCAGCCAAGGACUCCGAUGAUCCAACCGAACAGGAUGAUGGCCACCGCCAUGCCCAUG